UGAGUAACACGUAAGGAACCUACCGAUAAGCGGGGGGGACAACAUCCGGAAACGGUGCUAAUACCGCAUAGGAAGUUUGUUCGCAUGAACAAACUUAGAAAGAUGGCUCUGCUAUCACUUAUCGAUGGCCUUGCGGUGCAUUAACUAGUUGGCGAGGGUAAACGGGCUCACCAAGGUGAUGAUGCAUAGCCGACCUGAGAGGGUAAUCGGCCACAUUGGGACUGAGACACGGCCCAAACUCCUACGGGAGGCAGCAGUAGGGAAUCUUCCGCAAUGGACGCAAGUCUGACGGAGCAACGCCGCGUGAGUGAAGAAGGUUUUCGGAUCGUAAAACUCUGUUGUAAGAGAAGAACAAAUUGUAGAGUAACUGCUACAGUCUUGACGGUAUCUUACCAGAAAGCCACGGCUAACUACGUGCCAGCAGCCGCGGUAAAU
rnacentral:rRNA from 1 species